CCAUCUCAAAUAAGAUAAGUUUUGGCGUAACCAUUUCUCUUGAUCUCACGGGAGCAUUUAAGGGCUGAAUUAUCUUGUCCAGUUUGGCAUGUCCAACGACCCAGCAAUCUUAGGAUCGUGCGAUCUCACAGCUAACAACCCAUCUAUCUGAUAUCCUUCUAUAUAAACAGCUAGAGCUCCGAGGAUCCAGAUAAGUUCAAUCAAAUUCCUCUCAGAGAACUCGUUGCUGCUUCCUUCUUUUCUACUUUUCUGACUUAGCAUCGAAAGAUUCUCGUCGAAGCCACAACCUUCGGUUUGAGACUUGUUUUGCAGGUCGCUCCAGCACCAGCACCACCGCUCGAGGUCUUUAGAUGUCCAUCCUCGGAUCUCGACUGAUUUAAGUAGCAACAUAAGGUAACAUGGAUUAUCUUCAGGAUAGAUUACCAUCAUUAAAUUGUCAAUA
rnacentral:lncRNA from 1 species